GCUNUNUGCAGUCGAGCGAAUCGAUGGGAGCUUGCUCCCUGAGAUUAGCGGCGGACGGGUGAGUAACACNNGGGCAACCUGCCUAUAAGACUGGGAUAACUUCGGGAAACCGGAGCUAAUACCGGAUAUGUUCUUUUCUCGCAUGAGAGAAGAUGGAAAGACGGUUUCGGCUGUCACUUAUAGAUGGGCCCGCGGCGCAUUAGCUAGUUGGUGAGGUAAUGGCUCACCAAGGCGACGAUGCGUAGCCGACCUGAGAGGGUGAUCGGCCACACUGGGACUGAGACACGGCCCAGACUCCUACGGGAGGCAGCAGUAGGGAAUCUUCCGCAAUGGACGAAAGUCUGACGGAGCAACGCCGCGUGAACGAAGAAGGCCUUCGGGUCGUAAAGUUCUGUUGUUAGGGAANANCAAGUACCAGAGUAACUGCUGGUACCUUGACGGUACCUAACCAGAAAGCCACGGCUAACUACGUGCCAGCAGCCGCGGUAAUACGUAGGUGGCAAGCGUUGUCCGGAAUUAUUGGGCGUAAAGCGCGCGCAGGUGGUUCUUUAAGUCUGAUGUGAAAGCNCNACGGCUCAACCGUGGAGGGUCAUUGGAAACUGGGGAACUUGAGUGCAGAAGAGGAAANNGGAAUUCCAAGNGUAGCGGUGAAAUGCGUAGAGAUUGGANGAUC
rnacentral:rRNA from 1 species